rnacentral:rRNA from 1 species
UACGUAGGGGGCUAGCGUUGUCCGGAAUUAUUGGGCGUAAGGAGCUCGUAGGCGGUUUGUUGCGUCGGCUGUGAAAUCCCGAGGCUCAACCUCGGGUCUGCAGUCGAUACGAGUAAACUAGAGUGUUGCAGGGGAGACUGGAAUUCCUGGUGUAGCGGUGAAAUGCGCAGAUAUCAGGAGGAACACCGGUGGCGAAGGCGGGUCUCUGGGCAACAACUGACGCUGAGGAGCGAAAGCGUGGGGAGCGAACAGG